GUGCCAGCAGCCGCGGUAAAACGUAGGAGACUAGCGUUAUCCGGAUUUACUGGGCGUAAAGCGUGUGCAGGCGGUUCGGCAAGUUGGAUGUGAAAUCUCCCGGCUCAACUGGGAGGGGUCGUUCAAAACUACCGAACUUGAGGGCAUCAGAGGAAGGUGGAAUUCCGGGUGUAGUGGUGAAAUGCGUAGAUAUCCGGAGGAACACCAGUGGCGAAGGCGGCCUUCUGGGAUGAUCCUGACGCUCAGACACGAAAGCUAGGGGAGCGAACGGGAUUAGAAACCCGCGUAGUCC
rnacentral:rRNA from 1 species